rnacentral:rRNA from 1 species
UACAGAGGUCUCAAGCGUUGUUCGGAUUCAUUGGGCGUAAAGGGCGCGUAGGCGGCGGGGUAAGUCGGGUGUGAAAUCUCAGAGCUCAACUCUGAAACUGCACUCGAUACUGCUCUGCUUGAGGACUGGAGAGGAGACUGGAAUUCACGGUGUAGCAGUGAAAUGCGUAGAUAUCGUGAGGAAGACCAGUGGCGAAGGCGGGUCUCUGGACAGUUCCUGACGCUGAGGCGCGAAGGCGUGGGGAUCAAACAGG